GAGUUUGAUUCUGGCUCAGGACAAACGCUGGCGGCGUGCAUAACACAUGCAAGUCGAACGAAAUCUACAUGAUUUAGUGGCGAACGGGUGAGUAACACGUGAGAAACCUGCCUUACACAGAGGGAUAGCCGUUGGAAACGACGAUUAAUACCUCAUGACACCGUGACAUCGCAUGAUGAUGCGGUCAAAGAUUUAUCGGUGUAAGAUGGUCUCGCGCCUGAUUAGCUGGUUGGUGGGGUAACGGCCUACCAAGGCGACGAUCAGUAGCCGAUCUGAGAGGGUGGACGGCCACAUUGGGACUGAGACACGGCCCAAACUCCUACGGGAGGCAGCAGUGGGGAAUUUUGCACAAUGGGGGAAACCCUGAUGCAGCGACGCCGCGUGAACGAAGAAGGCCUUCGGGUUGUAAAGUUCUGUCCUUGGUGAAGAUAAUGACCGUACCAGAGAGCC
rnacentral:rRNA from 1 species